UACUGCUAUCAGUGUUCGAUUAAGCCAUGCGAGUUAAAUGUUCUUCGUGAACAUGGCGUACUGCUCAGUAACACGUGGAUAACCUGCCCUAAGGUCCGGCAUAACCCCGGGAAACUGGGGAUAAUACCGGAUAAACCAUAGAUACUGGAAUGUUCUGUGGUUAAAAGUUCCGGCGCCUUAGGAUGGAUCUGCGGCCUAUCAGGUAGUAGUGGGUGUAAAGUACCUACUAGCCGACGACGGGUACGGGUUGUGAGAGCAAGAGCCCGGAGAUGGAUUCUGAGACAUGAAUCCAGGCCCUACGGGGCGCAGCAGGCGCGAAAUCUUUACAAUGCGGGAAACCGCGAUAAGGGGACACUGAGUGCCAGCAUAUUAUGUUGGCCGUCCACCUGUAUAAAUCACAGGUGUUAGCAAGGGCCGGGCAAGACCGGUGCCAGCCGCCGCGGUAACACCGGCGGCCCGAGUGGUAGCCACUAUUAUUGGGUCUAAAGGGUCCGUAGCCGGUUUGAUCAGUCUUCCGGGAAAUCUGACAGCUCAACUGUUAGGCUUCCGGGGGAUACUGUCA
rnacentral:rRNA from 1 species